rnacentral:rRNA from 1 species
AGUCGAGCGGGGACCAGUGGGUAGCAAUAUUCGCUGGUUCUAGCGGCGAACGGGUGCGUAACACGUGGGUAAUCUGCCCUGAAGACCGGGAUAACUGCGCGAAAGCGUGGCUAAUACCGGAUGUGGAGGCCGGAGGACAUCCUCUGGACUCUAAAGCUGGGGAUUCCUUCGGGAACCUGGCGCUUCAGGAUGAGCCCGCGGCCUAUCAGCUCGUUGGCGGGGUAACGGCCCACCAAGGCUAAGACGGGUAGCUGGUCUGAGAGGACGACCAGCCACACUGGAACUGAGACACGGUCCAGACACCUACGGGUGGCAGCAGUCGAGAAUCUUUCACAAUGGGCGAAAGCCUGAUGGAGCGACGCCGCGUGGGGGAUGAAGGGCUUCGGCUCGUAAACCCCUGUCAUGGGCGAGCAACUUCGGCGGGUUAACAGCCUUCCGGAUUGAUAGUAGCCCAAGAGGAAGGGACGGCUAACUCUGUGCCAGCAGCCGCGGUAAUACAGAGGUCCCAAGCGUUGUUCGGAUUCACUGGGCGUAAAGGGUGCGCAGGCGGUGGGGGUAAGUUUGGUGUGAAAUCUCCGGGCUCAACCCGGAAAUGGCAUCAAAUACUAUCCCGCUGGAGGGUUGGAGAGGGGACUGGAAUUCUCGGUGUAGCAGUGAAGUGCGUGGAUUUCGAGAGGAACACCAGUGGCGAAAGCGAGUCUCUGGACAACUCCUGACGCUCCUUGCACGAAGCUACGGGAGCAACAGGAUUAGAUACCCUGGUAGUCCUAGCCCUAACGGUGCACGUUUGCUGUGGGCGGAUUCGAC